GUAGUUUCAGAGCCUGUCCAUAAGCAACCAAAAGUGACAGAAAAUGUCCUUCUACCAGAAUCAUCAUCAUGCCAAACGCCCUUACAAUAGGGAGGAUUCAUAUGACAGCUUCCAGGGCUCAUCAUUCAACAAUGGAUUUGAGUAUUUUCUUGAUCCUCCAAUAAGGAAUCAGGUUGGGGUUGCAGAAUAUCAUCAGAAAGCAACUGUUUGUGUUAGGGUGGGUGAUACAGAAAUCUGUAGUGAAAGUGUUGAUGCUGUAACUGAGGAGUUCAUUAAGUUAGAGCAUAAGAAGUUCUGAUAUAACAAGUGGAUAUGUGUCACAAGCAGCAUCUAUCCAUGCAGUAUGCACUAAAGCAUCAGUCUGGGUAAUUUCUACCCAGCCAUAAAUAACUUUGUGUGCAAAUAAGGCCAGCUAUUGACGCCAUAUAUAUUAUUAGUUUCUCAAUGCAAGUAUAGCCUUUGCAUUUCCUUACAUUUCAAGUUUGAAAUCUUUACUUAAAUUUAGAAUUGUUCUCAUCAUUAAUUCAAUGGCAGCUGCACUUACGAUUGUUAAACACAAGCAAUA
rnacentral:misc_RNA from 1 species